UACGGGGGGGGCAAGCGUUGUUCGGAAUUACUGGGCGUAAAGGGCUCGUAGGUUGCCAACUAAGUCAGACGUGAAAUCCCUCGGCUUAACCGGGGAACUGCGUCUGAUACUGGAUGGCUUGAGUUCGGGAGAGGGAUGCGGAAUUCCAGGUGUAGCGGUGAAAUGCGUAGAUAUCUGGAGGAACACCGGUGGCGAAGGCGCUCAUCUGGCCCAAUACUGACGCUGAGGCGCGAAAGCUAGGGUAGCGAACGGG
rnacentral:rRNA from 1 species